rnacentral:lncRNA from 1 species
GGUAAAGCUUUAUUUUAUAGACUUUCAACAUAAAAUCAAUCAUAAGUAUAGAAGGUCAGACAUUUCAGCAUAUGCACUCUUGUUGUGUUUUGGUAUGUUAUUUAUGAAGCAUGGACAAUAGGUCAACUAUACAUGAAUUUGGUGUCUUAAAUAAUCUUAAGUUGUAAUUGUCUGUUUGUCACAAUUUAUCUGACCUUGACUUCAUUGUCAUAGAUUUUUUGUUUCUGUUCUUUUAGUAAAAACUUUAUCUUUAAGACUUUCAACAUAAAAUCAAUUGUCUGAAAAGUAGGAGAGACAUUUUAGCAUGUGGACUCUUGUUGCUUAUAAAAAUCUGAAUUUACAGCAAUAUUUGUAUGCAUAAAAGACAAUAAUGGCUAUCAGAAAAUAUAUUUAUUGCAUCAAUAAACCUAAUAACACAGUGGAAAAUAACAUUUUCUAUUAAAGAAAUAGGUCAACAAAAAACAGCCCUCAAAAUUUUAUUUGCCAGCUAUUACUUUUCCUCACAGUUUUCUCUAAUUUUGUGUAAAGAGUUAAUGCGAUGCUAAUUAUUUUGCAGGCCAAAAUGAAAAUAAUGUCACAUCAUUGGUUGAACUUCCAUGACUUCAGCCUUUUUGAACCAUUCACAAUGUUUUGGUGUGCAAUUUGAAAAACAUUAUACCCAGAAUGCAAUAUAUUCUGAAUCGUCUAAUUUUAUUUUCUUAUGGAUGGAAAAUGUAAAUUUUGAGACUAGUUUGUUAAUUGACCAUUAUCACAGAUAUAGAAUACAACAAAAUACUUUAAAUAUGUAAAACAAAUAAUAUCUUAGGAUAAGGUAUUCUAAAUUCAGUAGAAGUGGGAGGUAACUCUUACAGACAAUUGAUUGGUUCAUCAAUUUUAAUGUAUGCUCAAACUAGCUACCGACAGAUUAAUCUAUUGACGUUUGAAUUUCCUCGGAUUCAACUUUUCCUGGUUCAAGAUAAUGAGUGCACACUAUAUACCGAUUGCUAUUUAUUAAACAGAUGAAACUAUGUAGAACAUAUACAAAAUAAUGUUGAAAAUACUUAAAUUAGCAUAAAAAACUUAAUAUUUUGUGCAAUUAUAAAAGAGAUGUAAAUUUCGAUUAGCAGAAAUUAAAAUACUGGCUGUGACACGAAUAUAUAUAACAGCAGAAAUUGUUAGUUGACUAUUUUUAACUGAAAUGAUAAAAAACAAAGCUAUAUUUUUCAGAAUUUUAAGUUUUGAUAGAAACAAGAAUUAGUGAAUCAAUUACGGAAUACUUAUAUGAUAGAAAUUUGAUUUAGGAUUAAUACCAGGCCUUGAAGGCAUAAAACUUUGCUCAGUGCUUGGAGCACAAAAAUCAUGCUCGAAAUGUGAAAUCCAGCAAUUUGAUUGGUUGAUUCUUGAGUCUGAGUACAAAAAUCGUGCUCGAAAGUUUUAUGACCGCAAGGCCUGGCUUAUAUUGUGGAAAAGCAAAUACAUUUUCUUUCAGUCAUUUAGCUUAUAUUCUUUGAAAUUCUUCUUGAAUCUAACAUAUAUAUUCUGUUCAUUGUUAAAAGAAAAGAAUAGAACUGAUUCUUGACAAAUAAAUAUAAAUGUACUUAUGAACGAAAAAAAACAAGGAAAAAACAAAUAUUUAUUUUAUUAUCAUUUAAUGAAAUGUAAGGGUAAAAAGUUUAAUCAUAACAUUUGUAAAUUUCUGUAUCAGUUAAUAUAGACAUAAACCUAUAAACAAAGACAAAAUAAACGAUAAAAAAUAAUGGGAAUGAUUUCUGGACGGAUUAUAAAAUAUCUGAAAUCUAGAGCACUAACAUCAACCUAUCACAGCCAUAUUUAUAAGGGGACGGACGCUUGUUCAUUGCAUGAAUUGUAUGUCCGGCAAAGUAGCCAUACAAAAUCAUGGAAUUUUAUGAAAAGAAAUGUGCUUAUAUACAAACAAUAAUGGUCAUAACACUUUGUUUUUGUUGACUUAUAUUUACCUAAAUAAAUCAAUCAUUUUUGUCGAGCCUUCGACUUUAGUCGAAAAAGCGAGACUAAGCGAUCCUACAUUCCGUCGGCGUCGGCGUCGUCGUCGUCGGCGGCGUCCACAAA